ensembl:lncRNA
AUUUGCUGUGACUGCGUUUAAUCCUUAAUCACAAAUAUGACAAACUUUGUCAUUUCUGUAAGAAAUCUUCAGGAAUAGAUCUCCAGACAUCUUGAAGGACAUUCAAAGCUCUUCUUUGGAUGUUUCUGCCUUCUGUUCUGUUCUCUGUCAAACUGAUCUCACACUGCUUCAAUAAUGUUGAGAUGUGUGCAGAUGCACUCUCACCUGCCUGCUGCCACUCCUGAGCCGCCGCUGCACUAGUGGCACUGAUCCCAUAGCUGACGAUCCUGGUGCUUGCUGGACUUUCUUGGGUGACCUGAAGCCUUUUUCACAACAAUUAAACCUGUUUCCUAAAAGUUCUUGAUGAUCCGACAAAAGGUUAAUUUAGGUGAAAUCUCAGUUGCAACAACCUCCUUGCCUGUCAAACCCUUUUUAUGCAACGCAAUUAUGAAUAAGAAGAAUGAUUUCAAGAAUCCCCUUUUAACACAUCCAGUGUGCUAUUCCAACUCAAUCAGCAUGACAUGAUCUCUAGCCUUGUGCUCAUCAACCUUCUUUCCUGUGCUACCGAGAAGAUUAUUGAAGCGGUCUACUUUUAUGCCAGCGAUGAAAUGCAGUGGAAGUGGGUUUUUUGGGAUUAAGUUCAUUUUCAUGACAGAGAUGAAUUUUGCAAUUCAUCUAAUCACUCUUCAUAACAUUCGAGAGUAUAUGCAAAUUGCCAUCAUAAAAACUGAAGCAGCAUUUGGCCACGACUCCACUGCUCAAGACCACUUUUAAAAAAAAAAAACAAAAACCAAAAAAAAAACUCUGGUUGCUUGGAAGCCAAAUAUGAAGAAAAGAUGGGUGGCUAAAGACUUUUGCACAUGAACAUUCAGAAAGUAAACAAGCAUUUUGAUACACAACCAAUUUACCCUCUGACUAAACAGCUCUAUCCAAUAAAUAUUCUGUUUUGAGCUAUUUUAAAUAUUCUUGUUCAUUAUUUUGCCUAACAUUAUAUAUAUUAUUAAAAACAUCCAGUCAAAUGUUUAGAUAACAGAAAUCUGCCGUGAAAAUAAUAAUAAUAAAAAAAAGAUUAAACAUUUUCCACUAAACUUUGUAUUUUACCUGUAAAUUGUGACAUUUCUCUGAAAAGAAAAAAGUGUGUUGUGUUAUUAAAAGCUCUAAACAUAUAUAAGACACAUAUCAAAGCCAAAUUCCAACAUGUUCAAAGCUUCAUUUUUUAUUUAUUAGUUUUCUUUUCAUCCACGCAGCAGACUC